CCUACGGGAGGCAGCAGUGGGGAAUAUUGCACAAUGGGGGAAACCCUGAUGCAGCGACGCCGCGUGAGUGAAGAAGUAAUUCGUUAUGGAAAGCUCUAUCAGCAGGGAAGAAAAUGACGGUACCUGAGUAAGAAGCCCCGGCUAACUACGUGCCAGCAGCCGCGGUAAUACGUAGGGGGCAAGCGUUAUCCGGAUUUACUGGGUGUAAAGGGAGCGUAGACGGCAGUGCAAGUCUGAAGUGAAAGGCGGGGGCUCAACCCCCGGACUGCUCUGGAAACUGUACGGCUGGAGUGCAGGAGAGGUAAGUGGAAUUCCUGGUGUAGCGGUGAAAUGCGUAGAUAUUAGGAGGAACACCAGUGGCGAAGGCAGCUUACUGGACUGUAACUGACGUUGAGGCUCGAAAGCGUGGGGAGCAAACAGGAUUAGAUACCCCAGUAGUC
rnacentral:rRNA from 1 species